UUUUUAUAAAAUAUAUAAGAAAAAAAAUUACAAAGAAUAAAAACAUGAGCUGAAAUACAAAAUAUAUAUAUAUACUCAAUUGAAGCAAAAAUAAAACUGAAAUGAUAAUUUACAAAUAAAUAAAGCAAUAAGACAGAUUUAAGGGUUAAAGCUUGAUGCGCACAAAUGUCCAAGGACUAAAGAGGCAAUUGUCCCCAAAUUCUAAAGCGCAGCGUUUAACUGUUGGUUAAAUUAAAACUAUGUACAAAUCUUAGGAACAAAUUAAAAAAACGGAAGAAAACAAAAGGAUUCAAUCGAAUAAUAGCGCGAAUAGAAAGGACUUAGCGCGCAAUUAUCCCUCCUCGCCAAAGACACGCGGAUCCUAGGGCUAGGAAUUGGAUCGGGGUGGGUUGGCUCUACACGAUACUGUUUUGGAGCCACUGAAACAGGCUCGAAACGGCGUCGUAUUUAACCCUUUAUAAGGGCUAAAACCGAAUCACUCAGCCAAACCCUAGCCAUCUCUCCUCUUUCAGCCAAACCCUAAAAUCUUCUAUUCAAAUGCCGAUCCAUCACCCCGAAUGGCGUUCGGCAUUUUUGAGCUAAGAAAGGUGGUUUUUUAGCCUUGAAACUCCUUUUAAACUUCGAUUUCGACGAAGCGAAAAGGAACUAGUGGCUUAAACAUAAGGUAUGAUCGCAUUUCUCUCUUUCUUUUGUUGUUUUUCUUUUAAAAUGAAAAAUAAAUAAAAAAAUCAAAAGAAACAGAUCAACAAAUAAUAGUAAAUGAAAGAGACUUAAGAAAAAUCGGGAAUCACGUUCUCAAAAAAAUGCUUUCAAAUUUUCCUAUUUAGUAUCCGUAAAAAAUACAUAGUACAUUCGGUCCUCUUUUAUAGCUGAAAAAUGAAAAUAAAAUAAAUAAGAAAAAUCCAAUUGCUUCGCUGUAAUCUGCUGUGUAUUCUGUUAUUUGCCUCUUCUCGCGUGUUCCAUUUGUAGAAAAGACCCGUACAGAGGCACGAGCGGAGAUGCGCGUGAGGGACUAGUGGCGCACGUGUGGUGUUCGUCCCGAUCACUAGCUGGCUACUGGUGAUUUCCAAAAACUUCUGGCCUGGGCUAUAUGAGCCUGUUUCGAGAACGAACUGCCAGGAACGCGGACUACUGCUACGGCGUUGAUCAGCAACUGGGGUUUGGGCUAGGGUUAGUCCUAGAUUGGGCCACUUGUGAAUCGGGCUAGGGAUUUUAGGUUUUGGGCUAGUAUUUUAUUUCUGUUUCGGGCUAUGUUUUGUUUUGGGCAUUUAUUCUUGUAAAAAAAAAACUUGGACUUUUAAUUAAUUAAUUUUGCUUUGGUUUAUUCUUGGAUAAAAUAAGUUGUAAAUAGACUUUUUGGACCAGUGGACUUUUACUAUUUUUGGUUUUAUUUUUAUUUUUAUUUUGGUUUUGGUUUUUUAUGGGCUCGGACAAAUUGGGCCGAUUACAGUGGUCUAAAGUGAAAUUAGUAUAAAAAUAUGAAGUUAAUUAUGAAGGUUAAAAUUAGUCUUGGUUUAGGGACUAAAUUGAAGAAUAAACAAAAUAUAGUGUGAAAAUUAAAAUUUAAUGUGAAGUUGAAAUGUGUAGUAUUAAUGUGAUUUAAUUGUUUUAUUUUGUAG
rnacentral:lncRNA from 1 species